rnacentral:rRNA from 1 species
CGCCGAGUGCUGUCGCUGGCUCUCAAGGAGUCGUGCACGCCCGGAGCGUGUCCUCUCACAUAACACAAUCCAUCUCACCCUUUGUGCACCACCGCGUGGGCACCCUCCUCGGAGGGGGCUCGCGUUUUCACACAACCCCCCCCUUUAAAAAGCGUAGAAUGCGUUUGUUAUUGAAAUCAAUACAACUUUCAACAACGGAUCUCUUGGCUCUCGCAUCGAUGAAGAACGCAGCGAAAUGCGAUACGUAAUGUGAAUUGCAGAAUUCAGUGAAUCAUCGAAUCUUUGAACGCACCUUGCGCCCCUUGGUAUUCCGAGGGGCACGCCCGUUUGAGUGUCGUGAAAAUCUCAACCUCCUUGGUUUCUUCUGGAGACCGAAGGAGGCUUGGACUUUGGAGGUGUUUGCUGGACUUUCGAAAGGCCAGCUCCUCUUAAAUGAAUUAGCGGGGUCCUCUUUGCCGGUCCUUGACAUGUGAUAAGAUGCUUCCGUGUCUCGGUUUCUGGCUCUGUUGCUUUUGGGACCCGCUCCUAACCGUCUAGACCUAGGUUGAGACAACGUUCGAGGAAACCUCCUCGACCUCACGAACCCUUGACCUCAAAUCGGGU